CUAUACUUGAAAUGCUGCAAACAUAAUUAAUGUUGAUUAACUGCUCCAAUGUUACAGUACAGUAGCAUCUUCUUGUAUACAACCAUAAAGUUCUGCCUUGGGUUGCAAAUUCCUCUCUUUCUGCUAAAGUCUUAUUUUAUACACUAGGCUAAGAUCAAGGAUCAUGGAAAGAUUUGAUACCAUCUGUGCUGGAUGUUAGAGCAUCAUAUAUUUUCAGUGGGUCCAGGAGUAUAUGAUCUACAUCGCAUUUUGCAUCCUACUGAAUCUACAGGAUUGUAGAUCGGAUUUGUGUAGGCAGGGCAUGUUCCUGCUAUGUUCUUGCAGAAGGUUGUGGUCCUAUUUUGACUUAGAUUUCACUUCCAUCUCAUUGUGAAAGCCUCACAAAUUUGGAACUCUUUUGCCCCAGGUCAGGAGAAGAUUGGCAUUAUCAGUAUUGAGGCAAUGUGAGUUCGCUAGUGAUUUUGAAGUAUAAACCAUGAAUGUGCUUAUGAAGACAGAAUGAGAAGGAGCAGCAUGAGAUGAAGAUGCCCUAAGUAGGCAUGAGCUCCUGCUUGAAACACAAAUUGCAUGGAGGUAUUCCACCACUACUUCUACUUCUGUCUUUUGUUGAUGGAGAUGGAUUCAACAGGAGGUGCAUACUCACCUGGAAGCUGUUAUCUAGAGAUGAAGGACGUGAUCCAGGAAGUUUUGAACAUCAAAUACUUCAUGUUUUUGAACAGAUUGCUAAUUGUAUUCCAAACCUGAAUCACCUUCUGAAGACCUGCAGAAAAGGAAGUGGAAGAAUUCGAAGUGUUCUAAUUUGAGAGGAGGUUAUAGUACCAUAUUAUUAAGUUCAAACUGCUUCUUGCCUCAAAUCAAGAAGAAAACCACUCUCUUUUUGACUAAAGCCAGGUACUAUGUGUGAUCUGUGGCUCUUCUGAACUUCUGGCUUUGGCUGUUUGGAAAAUAUUGGGUCUUUUUGAAUCCAGCUAUGUGCUAAACAGAGGGCUCUGUGGACAAUCAAGUGGCAAGAUGCACAACCCAGUGUUUGUAGUGAAAGCAUAUACCAGGUAGCAUUUCUGUCAUCUUUCCUGCUUUGGCUUUUUUAUAUUUGUAUAAUUAUUUAGGGCAGAUGAAAUGCCACAGUGCACAUGACUGAAAUGUGUGAAAACUUAAUUAACAGAAUAAUUACACAGUAGAAAUGUGAUCUUCUCUCAGUGAAAGCUAGCAGGAAAUUUGGGCCCUAUGGAGUAUGAGUCCAAAUAUUUAGUCGGUGGAAAAGCCAUUAGUCAGAAUGAGGCUGUAUCUCCUGGAAAGAGUUAAUAGGGUUCCUGACUUCAGAGAACACAAUAUGCCUUAAAUACCCUUCUCAUGGCUUCCCAGGCAUGCUGCAAAUGAAUAUGUGAUUUUGACAAGCUACCUGGGUAAAUCUGCAUAGCUCAAUUAACUUCAGUUGAUUUAUAUCAGUUACACCAACAGAAGAUCUGGACAGAACUUAAUAGCAUCUGUACAUCUAAUAGCCCAUCACAGUGUAUGAAAAUUGGGCAUAAUUCUCCUCAGUCAUCCCUUUGCAGCCAGAAUGAAUAGCAGGAAGAUUUAUUCUUUAUUAAAUGAAUUCCUAUUCUACAGAAUUGAAUCUACACUGCUUCCCAUGAAUUUCUACCUUGCAAAUCUUGUGUUUUUUCCUAAAAACCAUAGGUUUUCUGAGAAAAUAUUAAGAUAAAUCAGUAGAAUUUUAUUGAUAUCUGGUAAGAGACACAUUGCUUAAUUGUUUUACUCAUAUCAGUGUAAAUUUGCAUCAGGUUAGAAAUUGAUCACCUAUUUUU